rnacentral:lncRNA from 1 species
AAAGUGUAGUGUGAGGUUGGGUAUUAUAAUUUAUUUUAGGUUUGUGUAGAUGUAGCUAAAUUUUUUCCAAAAUGUAGGCAGAUUUGGCAGUAAAAUAAGCAAUGAAAUGAGCAAUAGAAUUGUACAACAGGCUGCAGUAUAAUUGCAAUGGCAACGACAACACCGAUUAGUCCAUAAAAAACAAAAUGGCGGCGUCAUCGCCCGGUUGAGUUGAAACUGCGUAGUAAAAUGUAGAAACCUGGGGAAGGCGGUUUUUGUGGAAAAUAUGUAAGGAGCUAUGUCGUGUAUUUACUUGAGUAACGUAAUUGCCAACGCUUGUCCUGCAGAGCCCGUUAUGAUUCCGUGGUAACGUCGUAUCGAAACAAUGGCGGGAGGUCUUGAGUCCCACUGGCAAUCGUGACUAAGAAAUACAUUUCGGACGUCACGUGGAUGGAUCCCCAAAUAGUCUCCAGAGUUUAUUAAGGCUUUUCAUCGUAAAUUUAAAGCUAAUUAAACUUGAAGGUAUUUUUAUUUUUCCCGAUGAAUAAAUCAAAAUAUUAAUUUAAUUAACAGUUUAUAGACACGCAAUAAUAAGCUAGUUGUAAGAGAACAGAGUUGUUGGCGUUACAAAGUUAUAUCAGUCAACUUUGAGGCCUAAUGUUAGCACUCAACCAAAACUCGUCAUUGAGUUAAAAUAUUCCAUUGGAAACUAUAAUCUAUAUAAUAUAUGAUAACGGUCGUGGUUGAUGGUUACAGUUUCAAAACUGUUAUAUUGUAUAGGACAAUAAAUUAUUUAAUGCAAAACGUGAUCUAAAUGCGGUCUUAUUACUAACAAUAUUUUUAUUAAAUAAAUUCCAACUCUGGCUACGAGAGUAGUAUAAUUGCUUACAAUAUUUAAUUUUCAGAUGUUUUUUAUUUGGUAUUGCCUAGUAGUUUGACUAAACUAAUAAAUUAUUUUAUACAACAUUCAAAUGAGAAAUAUACAUAUGAUUUCCUACUAUAUCAUAAAAAGUUGAGGAGAAAUGAAUGAACCGGGCGAUGGCUAGGUUUAACACCUGAUCAUGUAAAUUAUUACAUCAUUAUUCGACUAUAAUACACUAUAUUAUGAUUUAUAUGUAUAUAUUUAUAGAAAAUUAACAUACAAUAGUCAGAAAUAAUUGUAUCAUUUGGGGUUCAGUAAAGGUAUCUCCACUUUACGUCUUAGAAGUAGUUUUUAAUGUAUAUUAAUGCUACUAUUUUAUAAAAAUACUAAGUAGGUAGUGCCAUUAUCAUGCGCCCUGUAAAGACAUUAAAUAUAUACUAUAUACUAUAAACACAUAUAAGUGGUUACAAAAUUUUAUAUUACAUUUCACAAUCUCAAAUAGCAAGUUGUAAGACUACUUUAAACUCUGCGGGCGUGGCUUAUUUUAGUUUUCAAGUAAUUAGGUAACAUUUUAAAAGGCUUUUUGUUUGUAAAUGAUGUACCAAAUGUCGCUUAAAGUGUAGGACAUGUUAAUUUUGCAAGUAUUAGGUUAAAAUUUGCUACCUACCUACAUAGUUUAAAUAUAGUUGUACAUGAAGCUAAUAUCAUGCUACGGAUAAAUGAUCCUAUGAAAUAUUUGUUAAACAUCUAAAGAAUAUAGAUAUCUAUAUAUAACCAUCUAAAUCGAAUUGAAUAAUUGCUAAAAAUGUAUAAGUUUAUUUAAAGCAAUAAAAUAUGUAUUUAUCUCGAAGCGCACAAUUCUUUGAUUUAUUACAAAAAUAAUUUAACAAUUUCAUUAAUUGUAAAGUAUUAAGUAACUAGUAAUGCGCAAAUUAAUUUAAAUGAAUGCAAAAAAGUUCUUGGAUAUUGUAAAGAUAAACAAUAUAUUUUCAGAAAAUAAACCAAAAAUAAGUAAACUUA